rnacentral:rRNA from 1 species
GACGAACGCUGGCGGCGUGCUUAACACAUGCAAGUCGAACGGUGAAGCGCCUUCCUUUUUGGUGGGUGUGGAUGAGUGGCGAACGGGUGAGUAACACGUGAGUAACCUGCCCCCUUCUUCUGGAUAACCGCAUGAAAGUGUGGCUAAUACGGGAUAUUCUGGGUCUGUCGCAUGAUGGGUCUGGGAAAGAUAUUGUUUCGGUGGGGGAUGGGCUCGCGGCCUAUCAGCUUGUUGGUGGGGUGAUGGCCUACCAAGGCGGUGACGGGUAGCCGGCCUGAGAGGGUGGACGGCCACACUGGGACAGAGACACGGCCCGGACUCAUACGUGAGGCAGCAGUGGAGAAUAUUGAACAAUGGGCGCAAGCCUGAUGCAGCGACGCCGCGUGAGGGAUGGGGGCCUUGGGGUUGUGAACCUCUUUCGCCAGUGAAGCAGGCCUGCCUAGUUUGUGGGUGGGUUGACGGUAGCUGGAGAAGAAGCGCCGGCUAACUACGUG